rnacentral:rRNA from 1 species
GGAGGGUGCAAGCGUUAAUCGGAAUUACUGGGCGUAAAGCGCGCGUAGGCGGCUUUGUAAGUCGGAUGUGAAAGCCCUGGGCUUAACCUGGGAAUUGCAUUCGAUACUGCAGAGCUAGAGUAUGGUAGAGGGAAGUGGAAUUUCCGGUGUAGCGGUGAAAUGCGUAGAUAUCGGAAGGAACACCAGUGGCGAAGGCGACUUCCUGGGCCAAUACUGACGCUGAGGUGCGAAAGCGUGGGGAGCAAACAGGGAUUAGAUACCCUGGUAGUCCACGCCGUAAACGAUGAGAACUAGAUGUCGGGAGGAUCUGCCCUUUCGGUGUCGCAGCUAACGCGUUAAGUUCUCCGCCUGGGGAGUACGCCGGCAACGGUA